rnacentral:rRNA from 1 species
GUGAACGCUGGCGGCGUGGCUUAGGCAUGCAAGUCGAACGAGAAAGGCUUCGGCCGAGUAGAGUGGCGAAAGGGUGAGUAAUGCAUAGAUAACCUACCCUCGGGACUGGAAUAACCGCUGGAAACGGCGGCUAAUGCCAGAUGGACUGGUCGGGCGGCAUCGUCUGUCCAGUAAAUGGUAGCUUCCGGGCCUCUGCCCGGGGAGGGUCUAUGGUCCUAUUAGCUAGUUGGUGAGGUAACGGCUCACCAAGGCAACGAUGGGUANCCGGACUGAGAGGUUGACCGGCCACACUGGGACUGAGACACUGCCCAGACUCCUACGGGAGCUGCAGUCGAGAAUCGUUCCGCAAUGGACGCAAGUCUGACGGGCGACG